CGUGGUAAUUGCACUCUGUCCCGUACCACCCCACUAAACCUGGGGCGUCCAAAAUGCUUUACCACUGCACCUUAUUAUUUGUAAUUGCUCGAACGUAACGUCCCCUCUCUCUCUCGGGCCAAACUCUCUCCUUUCUGAAUCGUAGCAGAUCAGCGCUCGACCUCCUGAUCGCUUGUCGACUACUUUUAUCGCGUUCCUAAGAUAGCCGCUUAACUAUACAUCUGUCUCUGGCCAUUGCAAUGGCUCCUUUAGCAAGAUUCGUAUUUACAAUAAGAGGAAACAUUUGUGGGGUCAGUGCUACUGCUACAGAGAUCCCAAAGAUGAUGCUCUUGCCCAAAUUAUGUGAAGCAUAAUAAUCAGACAGGACCAUUAUUGGAACUACCACAACCAUGAGGCAAAUGAGUACAUAUGAUACAGACCGAACACUAUUAUCAAAGCAGGCUUUUCUUCCAUGAAGUGCUCUAGGAGAUUGAUAUUGACAUACUUCCUAAGGUUAUGUUAUGUACCUGUUGGAAUCGGAUGCCUACACUAGUCAAAACCAGAAUGAGCAUAAUGCUUCCGUUGGCAUUAUCAGAUGCUAGGUAUGAAAGUGCAGCCAUGACAACAAGAAUCAUAUUAAAUGGGUUAAUAAAAGCCGUGCACCAGAGCUGCCACCAGCCUGAGAAAUUAUGGUCAAUAGGGAUGUUUUUUCCUGCUUCCCUCAGUCUACUUUCUGCUUCCUUGAAGCUCAAGCCUGCAUAGGGAUUGACAUUCGAUUUGUGCAGAAAAAUGAUAUGCAGAUAGACGUGGCAAAUAAUACUCAGACAAGUUCAUCGCGAUCAAACACGGUACUGAUUUCUUCUAUAUUACAUGUUUUCAUUUACACUAAUCUGGGGUUACUGUGAUGAAAUUGAGUAGAAAUUCAUUUCUCUAGUUUACCCUACUAAAAUUUUUGAAGGAAAAGAAAUCAUCUAAAUUUACUGGAUCCAAUUUGGAGUUAAAUCACUCUUCUUCCCUCUCCAUUGAAGAAGAUACAGUAAGCUUGGGAAUGAAAUUCCUUUUUUCCUUUCUUUUAUUGGAGAGCAACCACAAAAUAAGGAAGAGAACAAGUCAAGCUUUGAACAAAAGAAUGUCUGCUUAGUUAACAGCAGAAAACCUGCUAGAAGUGGACUAAAACUCGAAUCUCUUCCUUCAGCUGAUUCAUAUUUUUUUCGCCCUGUUAUUUUACUGAUGCAAAAUGAAUACACAAACACACAUGCUGCUAUCUUAUUCUGCUAACAAGUUCAAUUUGUUUAUUCAUCUUUAUGCUCAUGUGUACAUAUAUGUGUAUAUCUAUGAUAUAUCAGAAAACAGAAUCAUUUAGGGGAGCAGUUUUUCCAUUAUAUCUAGCAUGGUAUGUUUUUUCCCCAUACCUCUUUCAGUAGAAUGAACAUAUUCAAAUGUUAGGUUCUUUUCAGAUUGAGCCAGAGCAUAGAUCCAUGACCGGACUCUUUCCUCUGCUUCGGACGGUCCAGACACAUUCUUCCCUGAAUUUUUAGCAGCAAAGCAAACCAUGACCAAACUAAAGUUCACUAUGAGGCAACAACCAUGACAAGAAAAUAAAACUCAAGGAGCAAGAUUUAUUUUCGCAGGAACUUGUGAUAAUUACUUGCUUCAAGAAGCCUUCUCAAGCACCCAGAGAUAGCUUGUAAAAUGCCAUGUUUAUUGUUCGAUCGGCUCAGUGGAUGGUGCUUGCCCAAGAGGCUCUGUCGUAGGGAGUUUGGUGCAUCCAUGGCAGUCUAUUUGAUCGAUCGAUCGAUGGAUUAACAGAAGAAUUCCAUGAUGCAAAUAAAGAAGCGCAGCAUUGAACGGGUAGUAUAAAAUGCAAGAACUAAGCUUAUUUUUUGUGCUUUCCAACUACCAUGCAUGAGUUUGACUGUUAGGUUCCACUUUGACUUGAAAUUUCUUUUGUUUCUUUGUUUGGUGUGUUGGAUUGAGUUAGGUUCUGACUUUCAGAUUAUAGAAGUGUAGAUAGGUGCUUUGAAUACCAAGUCCCACCACACUUGUUCUCGUAUCAAAUUCAGAAAUACUCAUUCUAAUACGUUAAUAUCAUUAUUUCAGGUAUCAAAUAAAGGAACACCCCACUGAUCAGUACUCUGCAGCAACGUUGGAAUCAACAAGUUUCGAUGGAGCUGGAAAUUAAAGUGGAGAGCACACGGUUGUGACAGUCAUUUCUCCAGAGCAAGCACGAGGAGCACCCAUCUGCUUCAGCCCUGCUGCUGCAGCUACAGUGAUUCUCUGCAGUCUGCACCACCACAGCGUGUAGAUCAUCAGAUCUCUCAUAUCCGAUUCACUCAGACCAGUUUGCACUAAUGUGCGUCAAAUAAAUAGAAAUCAACCAACAGCAACAUUUAAUUGAUGAUGUAUGUGAGUGUGUGUCUGCUGAGAGAGAUGAGGGAGUUGGUGUUUGGUUUCAAUUAAUAGACAGGGGAGGUACGGCAAAGUUAAAGGGUGGAGUCGCAUCAAACAAUCACAGUACAAUUCCUUUGUGUUUUUGCUGCAAUAUUAUCAUUCCACAUCGAGAUUAACAAGUAUACUUUUCACUGAAUAAGAGUAUUCAA